rnacentral:rRNA from 1 species
GGGUUGUGAGGUUAAGCGACUAAGCGUACACGGUGGAUGCCCUGGCAGUCAGAGGCGAUGAAGGGCGUGCUAAUCUGCGAUAAGCGCCGGUAAGGUGAUAUGAACCGUUAUAACCGGCGAUACCCGAAUGGGGAAACCCAGUGUGACUCGUCACACUAUCAUUAACUGAAUCCAUAGGUUAAUGAGGCGAACCGGGGGAACUGAAACAUCUAAGUACCCCGAGGAAAAGAAAUCAACCGAGAUUCCCCCAGUAGCGGCGAGCGAACGGGGAGGAGCCCAGAGCCUGAAUCAGCAUGUGUGUUAGUGGAAGCGUCUGGAAAGACGCGCGAUACAGGGUGACAGCCCCGUACACAAAAGCGCAUGUGCUGUGAGCUCGAUGAGUAGGGCGGGACACGUGGUAUCCUGUCUGAAUAUGGGGGGACCAUCCUCCAAGGCUAAAUACUCCUGACUGACCGAUAGUGAACCAGUACCGUGAGGGAAAGGCGAAAAGAACCCCGGCGAGGGGAGUGAAAAAGAACCUGAAACCGUGUACGUACAAGCAGUGGGAGCACCCUUUGGGGUGUGACUGCGUACCUUUUGUAUAAUGGGUCAGCGACUUAUAUUCUGUAGCAAGGUUAACCGUAUAGGGGAGCCGUAGGGAAACCGAGUCUUAACCGGGCGUUAAGUUGCAGGGUAUAGACCCGAAACCCGGUGAUCUAGCCAUGGGCAGGUUGAAGGUUGGGUAACACUAACUGGAGGACCGAACCGACUAAUGUUGAAAAAUUAGCGGAUGACCUGUGGCU